UACGUAGGUGGCAAGCGUUAUCCGGAAUUAUUGGGCGUAAAGCGCGCGCAGGCGGUCCUUUAAGUCUGAUGUGAAAGCCCACGGCUCAACCGUGGAGGGUCAUUGGAAACUGGGGGGACUUGAGUGCAGAAGAGGAGAGCGGAAUUCCACGUGUAGCGGUGAAAUGCGUAGAGAUGUGGAGGAACACCAGUGGCGAAGGCGGCUCUCUGGUCUGUAACUGACGCUGAGGAGCGAAAGCAUGGGGAGCGAACAGG
rnacentral:rRNA from 1 species